rnacentral:rRNA from 1 species
GUCUACAGCCAUACCACCCUGAACGCGCCCAAUCUCAUCUGAUCUUGAAAGCUAAGCAGGGUCGGGCCUGGUUAAUACUUGGAUGGAAGAAU